GAGGUGGAGGUGCAGGUGGGCCUCCACGUAAUGGAGGAAGUGGUGGAGGAGAUGGAGCUCUAGUCAAAAGUGGUGGUGGCGAGGGAGUCGGAUCUCCACUAGAAGGAGGUGGCGGUGGGGGAGGUGGAGCUCUACUAAAAGGAGGUGGCGGUGGUGGCGGUGGAGCUCUACUAAAAGGAGGUGGCGGUGGUGGCGGUGGAGCUCUACUAAAAGGAGGUGGCGGUGGUGGCGGUGGAG
rnacentral:lncRNA from 1 species